rnacentral:telomerase_RNA from 1 species
UGCUUUGCGGGGUGUCUAAUCUAACCCUAAAUCCGGAUGGCCUCCUGUACUUCACGUUUGCUGUUUUCUUGUUUCUGGCUUUCAGCAGACUACAGGAGGUUUUUUUUCCUGAAGUGGCGCUGGGAACGUUUACGAACCAUUAAAAAAAAAAAAAAGCCAACAUAGUCACUCCGUCAUGUUCAGUUUCUCGACAGAAACACCGUGAAUCUCCUGCCGUGGUCAGCCCGGCUGCCGCGAAGAGUUAGUCUCUGCUGCUCCGGUGUCUUCAUGUUGGGAAUUCUCGACAACUGAGCAGAUUAAAACUGAGCAGGGCGAUUCUGACGGAUCUCCAGUGGUCCGAUUAGGAAGCCCAAGUUCAAACACCU